rnacentral:rRNA from 1 species
AGUGAACGCUGGCGGUAGGCCUAACACAUGCAAGUCGAACGGCAGCACAGUAAGAGCUUGCUCUUACGGGUGGCGAGUGGCGGACGGGUGGGGAAUACAUCGGAAUCUACUUUUUCGUGGGGGAUAACGUAGGGAAACUUACGCUAAUACCGCAUACGACCUACGGGUGAAAGCAGGGGAUCUUCGGACCUUGCGCGAUUGAAUGAGCCGAUGUCGGAUUAGCUAGUUGGCGGGGUAAAGGCCCACCAAGGCGACGAUCCGUAGCUGGUCUGAGAGGAUGAUCAGCCACACUGGAACUGAGACACGGUCCAGACUCCUACGGGAGGCAGCAGUGGGGAAUAUUGGACAAUGGGCGCAAGCCUGAUCCAGCCAUACCGCGUGGGUGAAGAAGGCCCUCGGGUUGUAAAGCCCUUUUGUUGGGAAAGAAAAGCAGCAGGUUAAUACCCCGCUGUUCUGACGGUACCCAAAGAAUAAGCACCGGCUAACUUCGUG